rnacentral:rRNA from 1 species
UUUGCCUACGGGGCGCAGCAGUGAGGAAUAUUGGUCAAUGGCCGCAGGGCUGAACCAGCCAAGUCGCGUGAGGGAUGACGGUCCUAUGGAUUGUAAACCUCUUUUGUCGGGGAGCAAAAGACGCCACGUGUGGCGUUCCGAGAGUACCCGAAGAAAAAGCAUCGGCUAACUCCGUGCCAGCAGCCGCGGUAAUACGGAGGAUGCGAGCGUUAUCCGGAUUUAUUGGGUUUAAAGGGUGCGCAGGCGGAAGAUCAAGUCAGCGGUAAAAUUGAGAGGCUCAACCUCUUCGAGCCGUUGAAACUGGU